rnacentral:rRNA from 1 species
AUGCAACAUCGCGUUGAGCCUUGGAAAGGGCGCUGGCUGUCGAAGGCGGCUCGCGUGAUCCUUAUCAACUCUUCGCUUGCUAGCCUCCUUUGGUUCCUCAUGAGCUUUUACAGCCUCCAUGAAACCCUGCAUCAAGAGAUCGCCAAAUACCAAUCCAGAUUCUACUGGGCUGGGGAGGGGGAUAAGCAGAAGUACCACAUGGUCAGCUGGCCAGAUAUAUGCAAACCCAAGGACCAGGGCGGUCUUGGGAUUUUGUCCUCCCGGCGCAUGAACAUUGCCCUCCUGACCCGUUGGCUUUGGCACAUUGCCAAUGGAGAUGGAGGUCUCUGGCUUACUAUAAUCCAGAACAAAUACCUGCGUGGACAACCUCUCGCAUUUUGUCAGCGCUCAGGCGGCUCCCAGUUUUGGCAAGCCGUCGUCCAGCUGCUACCUGUUUUGCGCAUUGGCACAUCCAUCUCGGUGGGUACUGGGUCCUCGGCCCUGUUCUGGCUUGAUAGGUGGCUUGGCGACACCCCCCUAGCCGCUCGAUUUCCAGUCCUCUUUGACAUCAUUGUUGACCCUCGGGUAUCUGUAGAGACGGCCCUUAUUGACUUAGGGCGCCUCGCUUUCCGCCGCCCCUGUGGCCCCCUUGAGGUUGCGGCUUGGGAUGCCCUCCUCCAGGACAUCGCCCUCCUCCCUAUAGACGUUGUUGACUCCCCGGACGCCAUCUCUUGGCGACUGGAACCCUCCGGCUGCUUCUCCACCAGAUCCCUCUACGCGGCUAUCACCCCAUCGACGGCCCCGGAGCCCUUCAGUUUGAUUUGGGACAUCCGCCUGCCCCUGAAGAUCAGGAUCUUCCUGUGGCAAUGGAUCCGUGGCCGCCUCCCGUCCGGCGUUGAGGUCCUUAAACAUCACGGACCUGGAGAUGGGAUGUGCCCCAUGUGCGGCACGGUAGAGGAUGCCAACCACAUCUUCUUCUCGUGCUACACGGCACAGUUCCUUUGGUCCUGUUUCCGCGAAACGGUUGGGGGCCAGUGGUGCAACACUAACGUCCCUGACCUGCUUGCGGAAAUUCAGGCCUCACCCCCUCGCUACAGGCAUAUUAGAUGGCUUUGCGUGGGGAUCCUUGCCUGGACGCUGUGGACUGUUCGCAAUAAACUUGUCAUACAGAAGGUGCCUCUUCGGCGUGCUACUGACUCCAUCUUUAAAUUGUGUGGGUACUUGCAGCUCUGGCGGCAGCUUAGCCGCCCACAGGACUGGGACGUCAUCAGCAUCCUCCUCGCCGACCUUCGAUCGAUGGCCUUCCGCUUGGCGCCCCCGCUUCCCCCGCCACCCCCGGAGCCCGACUAG